GUUAUGGACUCUGGUGAACUGCGGUAUAUGUAACACACCUAUGUAUGUGGAAUAUACUUAUUAUCCAUUUAUCUAAAGCUUGUCAUUUAAAUUUGAACAUAUUGUACAUAUAUUAUCUAAUUUUUGUAUAAAUACUGUUGGUUAAUAUGUCGUUGAGAAAAGUAUUGUGUUUUGUAAGGGAUGCAAAAAUAUUGCAAAGAAUGUUUGUUAAUAAAAACUUUCUUUUAUCACAGAAGAAGAAUAAUCAGUAUCUAGUGGCUACACAAUUGUUUACAUUAUCAUUUACUGGCAUGAGUAUUUGGAGCUUUACUAAAAAUAAAAGUGAAAAUGAAGCUGUAAUAACCACCAAAGAAGUUUUAAUAGGAAAGGCUGAUGCAAUGUUUGAUCAAGAAAAAUAUAAGGAAAUAUAUGAUCUUUUGACAAAUUAUAAAGAUAGCAGGGAUGUUGAAAUUAUAUGGCGUUUAUGUAGAGCUAUGUAUAAAAUGUCCAAAACAGCCAGUGAUGUUGAAGCAAAACGACUUGUUUAUGAAGCAUUUGGCUUGAUACUUGAUGCUCUUGAAAUUAAUGAAAAUCAUUGGGCUGUACAGAAAUGGGCAGCAAUUAUUCUGAAUGCUAAAUGCAGUUAUGAAGGUGUGAAAGCACUAAUGAAGGAAUCAUAUAACAUUAAGCAUCAUAUGCUGAAAGCAAUAGAGCUAAAUGCAAAUGAUGCAACAAUUAUGUACAUGUUAGGUACUUGGUGUUAUCAAGUAGCUGAUUUAUCAUGGUAUCAAAGAAAAAUUGCAGCAAUAAUAUUUGGAGAGCCACCAACAUCUUCUUUCCAAGAAGCUUUAAUAUACUUUGAAAGUGCAGAAAAAGUUGAUCCUUAUUUUUAUAGUCACAAUUUAUUAAUGCUGGCAAAAACAUAUUUAAAAUUAAAUAACAAGGAGCAGGCUAUGAAGUACUUGAAAAUGGCUGUUGAAUAUCCUGCUAAAAAUGAUGAUGAUCUCAUUGCUAAGCAAGAAGCACAAAAAUUAUUGAAAAGUGUAUAACAUGAUCUCAGUACAGAUUAAUUUCUGUAUGUCUUGUAUAAAUAAUAACUGAUAUUAUUUUAAAGUACUGAAUUUUAAUUAAGAAGAAAACACAUGUGUUAUAACAUGAUUUUUUACAUAUAAGCUCUCUAUAUAUAUAUACAGGUAUAUAUAAUAUAUAUACAAAUAUAUGUGUUUUAUAAACUUAAUAAGAUUAACAUUCCAAAAGUAUUAUUUUAUAAAUCACUAUUUUAUGACAUAUAUAAGAUUAAUGAUUGCAUAAUAUUAAUUAUUUAAGUAUACACCUAUCCCCUGAUUUACACGAUUUCGCUUUUACACGUUUCUUAAAAUAACGGAUUUAAAAACAAAACCAGUAAAAGAAAUUUUGACUGCAUACAUAUUUCUACAGUCAUUUUCUUAUCCCUGUGGCUCGGGGAUCAGAAUACGGCCACGGCAACCCCUGCCUGUCGUAAGAGGCGACUAAAAGGGGGAGGAUAGGUGUAUUGCAUAUCUGGCAUAUUUUUUUAUAAUUUAUGUUUUUGUAUCGUGUGUGCAAUAUAUAAAAUAUACAUUUUUCACUUACA